UGUCUUUUACUUCUACUUAUCUCACAGUAGCGAGAAUGACACAUCAGUAGAGUCACAGUUUGAUAUGAUGGACUACAAGACAGGACUGCUGUUUUUAACUCUCUGCUGGGCAGGUGUUGAUGGUCAGACUCUGACUGAGUCUGAACCAGUGGUUAAAAGGCCUGGAGAAUCCCACACACUGACCUGUACAGCCUCUGGAUUCACAUUCAGUGACUACUGGAUGGCCUGGGUCAGACAGGCUCCUGGAAAAGCACUGGAGUGGGUUGCAAGCCAUUAUAACAGUGCUAACAUCCGUUACUCUCAGUCAGUCCAAGGACGAUUCACCAUCUCCAGAGACAACAGCAAACAGCAGGUGUAUCUGCAGAUGAACAGUCUGAAGACUGAAGAUUCUGCUGUUUAUUAUUGUUCUCGUCACUCACAGUGACUGAAGUUGUUUGAG